rnacentral:lncRNA from 1 species
GCAGGGCGAGCCUGGCGAGGGUGACACACACGAGCCUGCCUAGCACCAUCUAGACCGGGACCUCUCCCCAUUCGCCCAUACUCUCUCUCCCUUGCCAAGCUCGUCGCCGUUGCACCCGUAGCCCCUGAGGACUCCUCACCCUGCUGCCUAGCUCUCGAGAUCCGCCUCGAGCUCCUCCUCCUCCCUCGAAGCCAACCAUCGCCAAAUGUCGUAGAACACCGACCCCGAGGACUUCUUCGAUCUGUGUCCACCGGCAAGGAACCGAAGUUGACCGUCGAACCACACCGUCCCCGAGCCCUCUAUCGACGCCCCUGCAAUCACCGUGAGCCCAGGAUCUUGUUCCCCCUCUCCUUCCUAUCGUUUUCAAGCCAUAGCCAUGGAUUGUGCCGAGAUCCGAGGAGCCCUACAGCACGAGCUCGACGCCGUCAAUGUCCUGGUAACCCUCUGGUCUAGCCGAUGUCGCUGUUAGCGUUGUGAGGUCGCAUAGGUGUUAUAGGUGUCCAACUCCAGCUAGUUAGCACACAUCAACGUUGUUCCGAUGAUGCCAGAUCACCGUCCGCCGCGGGCCUCAAUGCCAUCAUUGAUUCCGGCGACCUCGGAGUCAAUUGACCUCGUGGAUCGAUGCGGACGAGCCAGGGAUGUGUCCUGGUAGUCUCUGUGCAACCAGCCGCUGCCUAUAUUGCAUCUCCAACGAAGCGUCGCUGUCAAUUUGGUCACCCCUGGCAAGGUUCCGGCCACACCAUCAUGUUACCAUCAUUAGGAGUUAAUCUAGCUAACUAAAUCACCUAACAACCACUAAUAGUGGGAC